rnacentral:rRNA from 1 species
ACGGAAGGCCGCAGUGGGGAAUAUUGGGCAAUGGGCGAAAGCCUGACCCAGCAACGCCGCGUGAAGGAAGAAGGCCUUCGGGUUGUAAACUUCUUUUAUCAGGGACGAAGAACGUGACGGUACCUGAUGAAUAAGCCACGGCUAACUACGUGCCAGCAGCCGCGGUAAUACGUAGGUGGCAAGCGUUAUCCGGAUUUACUGGGUGUAAAGGGCGCGUAGGCGGGGAUGCAAGUCAGGUGUGAAAUCUAUGGGCUUAACUCAUAAACUGCAUUUGAAACUGUAUCUCUUGAGUGUCGGAGAGGUAGAUGGAAUUCCUAGUGUAGCGGUGAAAUGCGUAGAUAUUAGGAGGAACACCAGUGGCGAAGGCGACCUACUGGACGAUAACUGACGCUGAGGCGCGAAAGCGUGGGGAGCAAACAGGAUUAGAUACCCUGGUA